UACGGGGGGGGUAAGCGUUGUUCGGAAUUACUGGGCGUAAAGGGCUCGUAGGCGGCCAACUAAGUCAGACGUGAAAUCCCUCAGCUUAACUGGGGAACUGCGUCUGAUACUGGAUGGCUUGGAUUCGGGAGAGGAAUGCGGAAUUCCAGGUGUAGCGGUGAAAUGCGUAGAUAUCGGGAGGAACAUCUGUGGCGAAGGCGACACCCUGGACCAGCACUGACACUGAGGCACGAAAGCGUGGGGAGCAAACAGG
rnacentral:rRNA from 1 species